rnacentral:rRNA from 1 species
UAGGGAAUCUUCCACAAUGGGCGCAAGCCUGAUGGAGCAACACCGCGUGAGUGAAGAAGGGUUUCGGCUCGUAAAACACUGUUGUAAGAGAAGAAUGACAUUGAGAGUAACUGUUCAAUGUGUGACGGUAUCUUACCAGAAAGGAACGGCUAAAUACGUGCCAC